UAGUAAGAGGAAGAAAGGAGAAUGAAGAAGAAGAAGAAGAGAGGAGAAGAAGAGAAGGGAAGUGAGAGAAAUUGUGGUAGAGAUCGAUUUGCUUGGGAGAUUGCUAAAGGAUUCAGCAAAAAGGAAUCCUAGAUAGUCGUGAGAGAGAUUCCUUGGCACCAGGAGAGAUUGUGGGCCUUGAUAUUCACUAUGACGAGAGCAGUCAGCUACAAGUUGAUAAUUCAGAGCAUGAUGACAUGGUUAUAGAUCAGUUAGCUUGUAUUCCGGAUUUUGAUGACUUCAACCAUGGGCAUGAUUGUGAAUGUGAUGAUUGUGCAUACGGUGGAUAGAAAUAUUGAGGACUAAUGUAUUUGAUUAUCCUUUUGUAUAUAUAUGUGGAUGGUAGCGGAAAUCAAUUUUUGUUGAUACAAGUUAAAGGGUAAAAACAACUAUUGGAAGAGAUUUUUGUGUAAAUAUUUGUUUUAGAAUGGGAUUAAUGUACAUAUAGAUGGAUUACUGUAUAUGUUGUUAUGACUCAUUGUAUAUAUGGUAUCA